AGCAGCAGAACAUAAAUAAUCCCCCCUAAAAUCCCAUGGCUUCUCUCUCUUCAUCUUGUUCUUGAUCUUCGAGUGACGAGGACCACCCAAUUCCUCGCCGACCCACCCACCCACCCAUCCAUGGCCUCCCCCAAGAGCCACCGCCACCACCCCCAACCCAACGGCGACCUCAAGACCCAUGUCCCCAAGAAGCAGAAAGUCCCCGCCUUUCUCACCGAUUCCGACCUCCAGUCCGAGUUCGCCCACCACGACCCUUCCGUCGCCCGGAUCAACAACGGCAGCUUCGGCUCCUGCCCCGCCUCCGUCAUCGCCGCCCAGCAGCAGUGGCAGCUCACGUUCCUGAGGCAGCCCGACAGCUUCUACUUCAACGGCCUCAAGAAGGGGAUCCUCGAAUCCAGGGCCGUCAUCAAGGACCUCAUCAACGCCGAAGACGUCAACGAGAUCUCCAUCGUCGACAACGCCACGACCGCUGUCGCUAUUGUGCUCCAGCAGAUCGCCUGGGCCUUCGCGGAAGGGAGGUUCCUCAAGGGCGACGUCGCGGUCAUGCUCCACUACGCCUAUGGCGCGGUCAAGAAGUCGGUCGAGGCGUACGUGACGCGCGCCGGCGGGCGAGUGAUCGAAGUUCAGCUGCCGUUCCCGGUGAGUUCUAGGGAAGAGAUUGUGUCCGAGUUUAGGGCGGCCUUGGAGAGAGGGAAGGUGGACGGGAGGAAAGUGAGGUUAGCUGUUAUUGAUCACGUCACGUCGAUGCCGACCGUGGUGAUUCCCGUCAAGGAAUUGGUCAAGAUUUGUAGAGAGGAGGGCGUUGACCAGGUUUUCGUGGAUGCAGCACAUGGGAUUGGGUGUGUUGACCUGGAUAUGAAGGAAAUUGGGGCUGAUUUUUACACUAGCAAUCUGCACAAGUGGUUUUUCUGCCCGCCUUCCGUCGCGUUUUUGUACUGCAGGAAGUCUCCGAGAUCGAUGGAACUGCAUCACCCGGUCGUGUCCGAUGAGUAUGGUAACGGGUUGGCUAUAGAAAGUGCUUGGAUCGGAACGAGGGAUUACAGUGCUCAGCUGGUGGUGCCUUCCGUGUUGGAAUUUCUUGAUAGGUUCGAAGGCGGUAUUGACGGGAUUAAGAAGAGAAAUCACGAGGCUGUGGUGAGAAUGGGGGAGAUGCUGGCGAAGGCCUGGGGGACGAGCCUCGGCUGUCCGCCGGAUAUGUGUGGGAGCAUGAUCAUGGUAGGUUUGCCUGCUUGUUUGGAGAUAUCGAACGAAGCGGACACCCUGACGUUGAGGGCCCAUUUGAGGGAGAGUUUUGGUGUUGAAGUCCCGAUUUAUUACCGAUCUCCAAAAGAGGGCGAGGUUGGUCCAAUUACAGGGUAUGCUAGAAUCUCGCAUCAGGUUUACAAUAAGGAAGAGGAUUACUACAAGUUUAGAGAUGCGAUUAACAAACUCGUGGGCACUAAGUUCACUUGCAAGCUUCUUCAUGAUUAGUAAGGUGGCUUUAUGGACUCCAAUGGAUGAACAAUAGUGUUGUUUGUUUACUAUUUAAUGGGCAGAGAGAUUCUACUGAGGAACAUUCUCCAACUAUACGGUAGUUAUGCACUGUAGAUGUAAACAAAACAGAAAAGGCUUCAGGGCGAGUUGAGAAGGGCGAUAAACUUUAAUGUGUUCUGAUAAUAAGAGCUGCAGUUUUCAGCUCAGCUUGCAUGCCGUUGGCGGCCAUCAUGGUUUAGUUACCAUGGGAAUCCAAGAAGUCUGCAGGAACCAGGAACCGAGAGGAUGUGCAUUGGCUUUGUAAUUAGAGUUUUAGGAAAGAUCUCGACUGUGGGAUCGUUUAGAUUAAGAGAUGCUGACGACGGGCUCUACUAAUUCUUGUUGUUUAAUGCUUUGUUGAUCCUCGUCGGUGCAAAUAAAUAAGAACGAACCUGUUCUCGUGUCGGAGAAGCUGCCCAUAAAGACCGCGGGUUGAAGCUUUUGUUGAUGUUUGUAUUGAUUCUGCACAACUUGUUCCUUUAGGUA